rnacentral:rRNA from 1 species
CCUACGGGUGACAGCAGUAGGGAAUUUUCUUCAAUGGGCGCAAGCCUGAACGAGCAAUGCCGCGUGAACGAGGCAGGUCUUCGGAUUGUAAAGUUCUGUUGAUGGGGAAAAAGAGCUGAGAGCGGAAUUGCUUCCUGACUGCUCUUACCCUUCGAGGAACUCACGGCUAACUACGUGCCAGCAGCCGCGGUUAUACGUAGGUGGGGAGCGUUAGCCGGAAUGAUUGGGCGUAAAGGGUGCGUAGGCCGCCUGCUAAGUCUGGAGUGAAAGGUACCGGCUCAACCGGUACAGGUUCUGGGAACCGGCGCGCUAGAGGGCAAGAGAGGGCAGUGGAACUCCAUGGGUAGCGGUAAAAUGCGUAAGUAUAUGGAAGGACAACAGUGGCGGAGGCGGCCGCCUGGCCUGUUAACUGACGCUGAGGCACGAAAGCGUGGGGAGCAAAUAGGAUUAGAUACCCUAGUAGUC